rnacentral:lncRNA from 1 species
AUGUCCUGUGCAGUGAAAAAAAGAUGUCCUUCUGUUCAGAUGGGACUUGCUGUGAGCUCCCACUGGGCACCACGGAGGAGAGCCCGGUUCUGCCCCUUCCCCAGAGGGCCCGGACUCAGCACUCGGGUUUCCUUUCAUCCCGUUCGCUGUCUUUACCGCAGAGCCGGGCUCACCCCGCGUCGCUCCUCCACUCCGGCAGGGGGCGCUGCAGCGCGGGCGGCGGAAGGAGGAAGUGUGAGCGCGGCGCGGGGCCAUGGCGCUGCCCGGCGAGCUGUGGGCAGAGCUGCCCAUCGAGAAGCGCAUCUUCUCCUCCGUCCUGCUCUUCUCGUGGGCCGUGUACCUGUGGGAGGCCUUCCUGGCGCACCGGCAGGUCGGCGGGGCUCCGGCGGGGCUGGGCCUGAGCUGAGGUCGGCCUCGGGCGGGGGGCGGCGGGCGGCGGGCGGGAGCGGGGAGGGCCCGGCCCGACGGGCAGAGCUCGUUUCCCUCUGCGCGUCUCUUUCCCAGCGCGUGGCGGAGGUCAGGGCAGGUCGCGGGGCUCACGGAGCCGCUCGGUGCCGGUCUGUGCCCGUCUGUGCNGAAGUUCUUGCGCACAUUGGUGUGGAACUUCCUGUGCUCCAGUUUCUGCCCGUUUCCCCUUGUCCUGUCAAGGGAGCUAAUUCAUCCUUAAAAGUCACUUCUCGUGCUGAAAUCAUAGCAGGACGAGGUGACAGCCUGCUUCACGUGGGCUCUGUUGUUUGUGUUUUUGCUUUCCAGAUGAUUCUCAUCUGUGGAGGAAUUCCUUUUCUCUGGAAUCUGUCUGGUCAGAUUUCAGGCCGUGCCGGGUUUGGACCAGAAUAUGAGGUAAGCAGUCCUGAAAUGCUACAGGAAGUGUUAAACAUGGAGCGACCCGCAUCGCAGCGCUGCUUCGGCUGGCUGAGGUGGCAAACAGGGCUUCAGGGCUUCUGUAUCUUAAGUAUUGCAGAUGUGAUUUUCUUUACUUCAGAUUUUGAUCAGAGCUUUGUUUGGACCUUCAAGCAGACCAGAAAAAGCUUCUGCUCACUUUGGACAAAGCUGUUCUGUGGUGUCGGGGACGUUUAUUAA